rnacentral:rRNA from 1 species
AGAGUUUGAUCCUGGCUCAGGAUGAACGCUAGCUACAGGCUUAACACAUGCAAGUCGAGGGGAAACGAUAUUGGAAGCUUGCUUCCGAUAGGCGUCGACCGGCGCACGGGUGAGUAACGCGUAUCCAACCUGCCCAUCACUUGGGGAUAACCUUGCGAAAGUAAGACUAAUACCCAAUGACGUCUCUAGAAGACAUCUGAAGGAGAUUAAAGAUUUAUCGGUGAUGGAUGGGGAUGCGUCAGAUUAGCUUGUUGGCGGGGUAACGGCCCACCAAGGCUACGAUCAGUAGGGGUUCUGAGAGGAAGGUCCCCCACAUUGGAACUGAGACACGGUCCAAACUCCUACGGGAGGCAGCAGUGAGGAAUAUUGGUCAAUGGACGAGAGUCUGAACCAGCCAAGUAGCGUGCAGGAUGACGGCCCUAUGGGUUGUAAACUGCUUUUAUAAGGGAAUAAAGUGAGCCUCGUGAGGCUUUUUGCAUGUACCUUAUGAAUAAGGACCGGCUAAUUCCGUGCCAGCAGCCGCGGUAAUACGGAAGGUCCGGGCGUUAUCCGGAUUUAUUGGGUUUAAAGGGAGCGUAGGCCGGAGAUUAAGCGUGUUGUGAAAUGUAGACGCUCAACGUCUGCACUGCAGCGCGAACUGGUUUCCUUGAGUACGCACAAAGUGGGCGGAAUUCGUGGUGUAGCGGUGAAAUGCUUAGAUAUCACGAAGAACUCCGAUUGCGAAGGCAGCUCACUGGAGCGCAACUGACGCUGAAGCUCGAAAGUGCGGGUAUCGAACAGGAUUAGAUACCCUGGUAGUCCGCACGGUAAACGAUGGAUGCCCGCUGUUGGUCUGAAUAGGUCAGCGGCCAAGCGAAAGCAUUAAGCAUCCCACCUGGGGAGUACGCCGGCAACGGUGAAACCCAAAGGAAUUGACGGGGGCCCGCACAAGCAGUGGAGUAUGUGGUUUAAUUCGACGCAACGCGAAGAACCUUACCAAGUCUUGACAUCCCUUGACGAUGCUGGAAACAGUAUUUCUCUUCGGAGCAAGGAGACAGGUGGUGCAUGGUUGUCGUCAGCUCGUGUCGUGAGAUGUUGGGUUAAGUCCCGCAACGAGCGCAACCCUUAUGGUCAGUUACUACGCAAGAGGACUCUGGCCAGACUGCCGUUGACAAAACGGAGGAAGGUGGGGAUGACGUCAAAUCAUCAUGCCCUUUAUGACUUGGGCUACACACGUACUACAAUGGCGUUAAACAAAGAGAAGCAAGACCGCGAGGUGGAGCAAAACUCAGAAACAACGUCCCAGUUCGGACUGCAGGCUGCAACUCGCCUGCACGAAGUCGGAAUUGCUAGUAAUCGUGGAUCAGCAUGCCACGGUGAAUACGUUCCCGGGCCUUGUACACACCGCCCGUCACACCAUGAGAGCCGGGGGGACCCGAAGUCGGUAGUCUAACCGUAAGGAGGACGCCGCCGAAGGUAAAACUGGUGAUUGGGGUGAAGUCGUAACAAGGUA